UUAACAUGAUGGUGUCCAGUU
rnacentral:piRNA from 1 species